rnacentral:rRNA from 1 species
GAUGAACGCUAGCGGCAGGCCUAACACAUGCAAGUCGAGGGGCAGCACAGGUAGCAAUACUGGGUGGCGACCGGCGGAUGGGUGCGUAACGCGUAUGCAACCUACCAUUGAUUGGGGCAUAGCCCGAAGAAAUUCGGAUUAAUACUCCAUAAUAUUCAUCAAAGGCAUCUUUUAUGAAUUAAAGCUUUUGCGAUCAAUGAUGGGCAUGCGUGACAUUAGUUAGUUGGUGAGGUAACGGCUCACCAAAACGAUGAUGUCUAGGGGUUCUGAGAGGAUUAUCCCCCACACUGGUACUGAGACACGGACCAGACUCCUACGGGAGGCAGCAGUGAGGAAUAUUGGUCAAUGGACGCAAGUCUGAACCAGCCAUGCCGCGUGCAGGAUGACGGCCCUAUGGGUUGUAAACUGCUUUUGUACGGAACGAAAAGGCUCUGGUUAAUACCUGGGGCUCAUGACGGUACCGUAAGAAUAAGCACCGGCUAACUACG